AUUGAACGCUGGCGGCAUGCCUUACACAUGCAAGUCGAACGGUAACGCGGGGCAACCUGGCGACGAGUGGCGAACGGGUGAGUAAUGCAUCGGAACGUGCCCAGUAGUGGGGGAUAGCCCGGCGAAAGCCGGAUUAAUACCGCAUACGACCUAUGGGUGAAAGCGGGGGAUCGCAAGACCUCGCGCUAUUGGAGCGGCCGAUGUCAGAUUAGGUAGUUGGUGGGGUAAAGGCCUACCAAGCCUACGAUCUGUAGCUGGUCUGAGAGGACGACCAGCCACACUGGGACUGAGACACGGCCCAGACUCCUACGGGAGGCAGCAGUGGGGAAUUUUGGACAAUGGGCGCAAGCCUGAUCCAGCCAUGCCGCGUGCGGGAAGAAGGCCUUCGGGUUGUAAACCGCUUUUGUCAGGGAAGAAACGCUCUGGGUUAAUACCCUGGGGUAAUGACGGUACCUGAAGAAUAAGCACCGGCUAACUACGUGCCAGCAGCCGCGGUAAGAC
rnacentral:rRNA from 1 species